CGGUGGAGCAUGUGGUUUAAUUCGAAGCAACGCGAAGAACCUUACCAGGCCUUGACAUCCAAUGAACUUUCCAGAGAUGGAUUGGUGCCUUCGGGAACAUUGAGACAGGUGCUGCAUGGCCGUCGUCAGCUCGUGUCGUGAGAUGUUGGGUUAAGUCCCGUAACGAGCGCAACCCUUGUCCUUAGUUACCAGCACGUUAUGGUGGGCACUCUAAGGAGACUGCCGGUGACAAACCGGAGGAAGGUGGGGAUGACGUCAAGUCAUCAUGGCCCUUACGGCCUGGGCUACACACGUGCUACAAUGGUCGGUACAAAGGGUUGCCAAGCCGCGAGGUGGAGCUAAUCCCAUAAAACCGAUCGUAGUCCGGAUCGCAGUCUGCAACUCGACUGCGUGAAGUCGGAAUCGCUAGUAAUCGCGAAUCAGAAUGUCGCGGUGAAUACGUUCCCGGGCCUUGUACACACCGCCCGUCACACCAUGGGAGUGGGUUGCACCAGAAGUAGCUAGUCUAACCUUCGGGAGGACGGUUACCACGGUGUGAUUCAUGACUGGGGUGAAGUCGUAACAAGGUAGCCGUA
rnacentral:rRNA from 1 species